UGGAAAUCAGUGUCCCUCACCUUCUCUUUUUCAGUGGGUCCCAGCUCUCUAUCGGAUUCGAGUCUCUGUAGGAGAUUCCCCCGACUAUCACCUACACUCCUGUGACUUUAGGAAAAAAAUUCUGCCUCUGGGACAAAGGUGUCGGGAUAAACUAAGACAAAAAUACAUUCAAGGAGAAAACAGAGGAAGUCAUUCUACUUGAAUGGCAGAAUCGAAACUGCUUCCUCCUCAAACAGAGAAAAUCCUGAAGUUUGAAGGCAGAAGAUACCCAUUCCUCCGGCAUUAGCACUGUUACAUCCAGCUUCAGAAUAUAAACCCAGACGAGGUCUCAAAUGACUCAUUACUGGAAUAAAUGUUUCUCAUGUUAAAG
rnacentral:lncRNA from 9 species